rnacentral:rRNA from 1 species
AGAGUUUGAUCCUGGCUCAGGAUGAACGCUAGCGACAGGCUUAACACAUGCAAGUCGAGGGGCAGCGGGGAGUAGCAAUACUUCGCCGGCGACCGGCGCACGGGUGAGUAACACGUGUGCAACCAACCCCGUACCGGGAGAUAACCCGCGGAAACGUGGACUAACAUCCCAUAAGACUCUAGAGCCGCAUGGCUCUGGAUUUAAAAUUCCGGUGGUACGGGACGGGCACGCGCGACAUUAGGUAGUUGGCGGGGUAACGGCCCACCAAGCCGACGAUGUCUAGGGGUUCUGAGAGGAAGGUCCCCCACACUGGAACUGAGACACGGUCCAGACUCCUACGGGAGGCAGCAGUGAGGAAUAUUGGUCAAUGGGCGAGAGCCUGAACCAGCCAAGUCGCGUGAGGGAAGAAUGGUCUAUGGCCUGUAAACCUCUUUUGCCAGGGAAGAAUAAAAGGUACGUGUACCUUCUUGCCAGUACCUGACGAAUAAGCAUCGGCUAACUCCGUGCCAGCAGCCGCGGUAAUACGGGGGAUGCGAGCGUUAUCCGGAUUUAUUGGGUUUAAAGGGCGCGUAGGCGGGACGCCAAGUCAGCGGUAAAAGACUGCAGCUAAACUGUAGCACGCCGUUGAAACUGGCGACCUGGAGACGAGACGAGGGAGGCGGAACAAGUGAAGUAGCGGUGAAAUGCUUAGAUAUCACUUGGAACCCCGAUAGCGAAGGCAGCUUCCCAGGCUCGAUCUGACGCUGAUGCGCGAGAGCGUGGGUAGCGAACAGGAUUAGAUACCCUGGUAGUCCACGCCGUAAACGAUGCUCACUGGAUCUUGGCGAUACACUGCCAGGGUUCAAGCGAAAGUAUUAAGUGAGCCACCUGGGGAGUACGUCGGCAACGAUGAAACUCAAAGGAAUUGACGGGGGCCCGCACAAGCGGAGGAACAUGUGGUUUAAUUCGAUGAUACGCGAGGAACCUUACCCGGGUUUAAAUGUAUUUUGCAUUUCUUGGAAACAGGAAUUCCCUUCGGGGCUAGAUACAAGGUGCUGCAUGGUUGUCGUCAGCUCGUGCCGUGAGGUGUCGGGUUAAGUCCCAUAACGAGCGCAACCC